AACCAAGAAAUGAAUUUUCAUAUAUGGUUUCGACCCAUACUUAGGUAUAUUUUACCCUUGUUUC
rnacentral:tRNA from 1 species